GACGAACGCUGGCGGCGUGCUUAACACAUGCAAGUCGAACGGAAAGGCCCUGCUUUUGUGGGGUUCUCGAGGGGCGAACGGGUGAGUAACACGUGAGUAACCUGCCCUUGACUUUGGGAUAACUUCAGGAAACUGGGGCUAAUACCGGAUAGGAGCUCCUGCUGCAUGGUGGGGGUUGGAAAGUUUCGGCGGUUGGGGAUGGACUCGCGGCUUAUCAGCUUGUUGGUGGGGUAGUGGCUUACCAAGGCUUUGACGGGUAGCCGGCCUGAGAGGGUGACCGGCCACAUUGGGACUAAGAUACGGCCCAGACUCCUACGGGAGGCAGCAGUGGGGAAUAUUGCACAAUGGGCGGAAGCCUGAUACAGCGACGCCGCGUGCGGGAUGACGGCCUUCGGGUUGUAAACCGCUUUCGCCUGUGACGAAGCGUGAGUGACGGUAAUGGGUAAAGAAGCACCGGCUAACUACGUG
rnacentral:rRNA from 1 species